rnacentral:lncRNA from 1 species
GAUCCCGGGGUGGGAGUAGCGGCGGCCUCGCGGAAGACAGAGCGCGGAGGCGGCGGGGCAAGGCCGGCGAGACCCAGAGGCUCUGCGGAGUGAGACCCAAGACGCCUGGAUGGCAAGAGACUGAGAGGGGGAAAAGGGAGCACACGCUCUGGAGGUUGCGGGGGCGGACUCGGGGACAGGGGCGGAGCUACACCCCGAGGCGUGCAACUCGUGGAGAGUGAGGGGAGGAGUGCGAGCUUGGCUGCGGAGUGCCGGGAGCGGGAAGGAGCCGGCCCAGCCUAGAGUGGGACCCAAGGAACGUUCCUGGGCGCGCGAGUAGCGCGGGAUUGGCUGGGCGGACGCGGUGCGGGUGCGCGCGAGGCACGAACGCAGCCUCGGCGGGCCCCAGACAGAAGCAAUCCCCCGCCGAGCCGGCAGCCUCGUCAGUUUUCCGCCGCCUCAGGCCGGCCGGCUCUGCCCGCGAUGGAGCCACUCCGGACCAGGUGCGGCAGCGAGGUGGGCUCACCUCCUCUGAAGGCACCGGAGAACCUAGAGGUGGCUUAAGGAAGCGGCAUGGGUGGCAGAACGGUGGCCGCUGUGACGAGAGUCCCCUCUCGGGCAGAGAUAGGUUACCCUGUGCCGCCCCAGCUGUGACCUGCAGUCAAUGCUCCCUCUGACUUCGCUUUGGCCCCGCUCGGUGACAGCCUACCACAGACGUCGUAGACGGAGCUUAUGUGUCUGCAGCAGGGCACGUGGAGUGGAGAUUCCUCUCUCUCUCUCUCUCUCUCUCUCUCUCUCUCUCUCUCUCUCUCUCUCUGUCGUCCCCUAGAUGCUGUGACAUUUAAGUUUCAGUGUUUCUGGAAUAUGGAAUUACUCUGAAAAUGUGGUCAUUUAGUUCUGUGUCUUUCAUAAAGUGUUAUUAGCCACCUCUAUUUUGUGUAGGUUUGCUAAAUAUCCUUUUCUGGCUUAAGUGUGUGUAUGUUUUCUCAUUUGUUCACCAUAGUAAAACCUAAAAGCAAAACAACAACAAAAAAAGUAUCAAAACUGUUUAAUAAUCUGCUCUUAGUCUAAAAUCUCAAUUAUAUGGUUAUGUGCGGUUUGUAUUGUUCCAGUAAGAACAUAGCAUUACUCAUUCUAUUCACUAAAGAUUCACAUUGUGCCUUUAUAUAAGAGGACAAAGGAAAUGAUGGGUGGAGUUGAGAAAGGAUAAAAUAAUUCGUUUUUGAAGAUAUGUAUACUAGUAUUUCUGGCAGUGGAUUAAAUUUGUAAGCCAGAUCAUGAACUCACCUCCCAUAAUUACUACCAAAGAUCCUAGUGGCAAAACAAGUUCUAACUGGUCUCAAAAAGAGGGAGAUUGCUGAGAAAGUAUGCCCAAAUGUGUCACUUAUCUCAAACUAAAGAUGAAAUAAAAAUUGUUGAUUACAUC